GAAGCGGAGCGCUGGGGUGCGGCGGCAGGACGCCCGGCAGAGCCCUAAGAAACCAGCAUCGACGCCUUGCCACAAAAACUCAACGUCUCUCCCUUUUGACAAUUUAGGCUCUUAACUUGGGGGCUGCUUACCCUCUUCCCAGCGGAAAGGAAAGACCAGCUGGAAGACCCUUGAAAUGCAGAGGAAAAUGUUCCCUCUCCAAUGGCUGGCAUAAUCUGCAGGAUAAGCUUUUGCUGGAUAUUUGCUCUGAAAAUUCUGUGUCUUUGCGAUGCUGGGACAUCUGACAUACUGCCAGCAGAAGCUUCAUGAAGGACACCAUGUGUUACAGUGGAAAUUAGAAUUAGAAUUCGCGGAAAGGAGGAGAGGGCCUUGCAGCAUCG